CGCCUAACCCUUAUAGUUUUCUAUGAGAUAUGGUGAAAAAUCCACACGAGUGUAGAGACGGCUUUCCGUCUGGUACUACUCGUGUGGUCAAUACCCGAAAGGGUGUUGGAUGCCCUAAAAAGCAUC
rnacentral:sRNA from 12 species